GCCGUGGCUCAGUGGAAGAGUCUCUGCAUUGCGUGCAUAAGGUUCCAGGUUCAAGCCUUGGCAUCUCUC
rnacentral:tRNA from 1 species